CAGCCGCCGCGGUAAUACGAAGGGUGCAAGCGUUAAUCGGAAUUACUGGGCGUAAAGCGCACGUAGGCGGCUUGGUAAGUUAGAGGUGAAAGCCUGGAGCUCAACUCCAGAAUUGCCUUUAAGACUGCCGAGCUAGCAGGUGAGAGAGGUAAGUGGAAUUCCGAGUGUAGAGGUGAAAUUCGUAGAUAUUCGGAAGAACACCAGUGGCGAAGGCGGCUCACUGGACUGGUAUUGACGCUGAGGUGCGAAAGCGUGGGGAGCAAACAGGAUUAGAUACCCCAGUAGUCCCUGUCUCUUAUAC
rnacentral:rRNA from 1 species